UACGGAGGAUGCAAGCGUUAUCCGGAUUCAUUGGGUUUAAAGGGUGCGUAGGCGGGGCAAUCAGUCAGUGGUGAAAUCCUGCGGCUUAACCGUAGAACUGCCAUUGAUACUGUUGCCCUUGAGUGUAGUUGAAGUGGGCGGAAUAUGUAAUGUAGCGGUGAAAUGCAUAGAUAUUACAUAGAACACCAAUUGCGAAGGCAGCUCACUAAGCUACUACUGACGCUGAGGCACGAAAGCGUGGGGAGCGAACAGGAUUAGAUACCCGGUA
rnacentral:rRNA from 1 species